ACGGGAGGCAGCAGUGGGGGAUAUUGGACAAUGGGGGCAACCCUGAUCCAGCGACGCCGCGUGAGGGAAGAAGGUUUUCGGAUUGUAAACCUCUGUUGACGGAGAAAAAAAUGAUGGUAUCCGUUUAGAAAGCCACGGCUAACUACGUGCCAGCAGCCGCGGUAAUACGUAGGUGGCAAGCGUUGUCCGGAAUUACUGGGUGUAAAGGGAGUGUAGGCGGGAUAUCAAGUCAGAAGUGAAAAUUACGGGCUCAACUCGUAACCUGCUUUUGAAACUGACAUUCUUGAGUGAAGUAGAGGCAAGCGGAAUUCCUAGUGUAGCGGUGAAAUGCGUAGAUAUUAGGAGGAACACCAGUGGCGAAGGCGGCUUGCUGGGCUUUUACUGACGCUGAGGCUCGAAAGCGUGGGGAGCAAACAGGAUUAGAUACCCUGGUAGUCCACGCCGUAAACGAUGAUUACUAGGUGUGGGGGGAUUGACCCCUUCCGUGCC
rnacentral:rRNA from 1 species